rnacentral:SRP_RNA from 1 species
GCCGGGUGUGGUGGCGGGUGCCUGUAAUCCCAGCUACUGGGGAGGCUGAGGCGGGAGAAUCGUUUGAACCCGGGAGGCAGAGGUUGCAGUGAGCCGAGAUGGCACCACUGCACUCCAGCCUGGGUGACAGAGCGAUACUCUGUCUCAG